rnacentral:rRNA from 1 species
CCAGACUCCUACGGGAGGCAGCAGUGAGGAAUAUUGGUCAAUGGGCGGGAGCCUGAACCAGCCAUGCCGCGUGAAGGCGAGUGCCCUCCGGGCGUUAAACUUCUUUUGUGCGGGAGCAAUAAGGGCCACGCGUGGCCCGAUGAGAGUACCGCACGAAUAAGCAUCGGCUAACUCCGUGCCAGCAGCCGCGGUAAUACGGGGGAUGCGAGCGUUAUCCGGAUUUAUUGGGUUUAAAGGGUGCGUAGGCGGCGCUUCAGGUCAGCGGUGAAAUACCGGGGCUCAACCCCGGGGCUGCCGUUGAAACUGGGUGCCUUGAGUGGGCGAGAAGUACGCGGAAUGCGCGGUGUAGCGGUGAAAUGCUUAGAUAUCGCGCAGAACCCCGAUUGCGAAGGCAGCGUACCGGCUCCACACUGACGCUGAGGCACGAAAGCGUGGGUAUCGAACAGGAUUAGAUACCCCUGUA